rnacentral:sRNA from 1 species
UUAGCCUUUUGUUAUUCUUUAAAAAGAAAGAUUGCUUUGUCAGCUGCUGGUAGCUAACAUACUUUUCCCAUUCUGUUUUCUCUCUUAGAGCAUGGAUCAUUUUGAUGACAUUGGUCCCAGUGUUGUAAUGGCCUCCCCAGGCAUGAUGCAAAGUGGCUUAUCUAGAGAGUUAUUUGAAAGCUGGUGUACUGAUAAGAGGAAUGGUGUCAUUAUAGCAGGAUACUGUGUAGAAGGGACACUUGCCAAGCACAUCAUGUCUGAACCUGAAGAAAUCACUACUAUGUCUGGACAGAAGUUACCACUGAAAAUGUCUGUUGAUUACAUUUCUUUCUCAGCUCACACGGAUUACCAGCAAACCAGUGAAUUUAUUCGUGCUUUGAAACCGCCUCAUGUGAUUUUAGUCCAUGGAGAACAGAACGAAAUGGCCAGAUUGAAAGCAGCACUGAUUCGAGAAUAUGAAGAUAAUGAUGAAGUUCACAUAGAGGUUCAUAAUCCUCGGAAUACAGAAGCAGUGACCUUAAACUUCAGAGGAGAAAAACUAGCCAAG